rnacentral:rRNA from 1 species
UACAGAGGUCUCAAGCGUUGUUCGGAUUCAUUGGGCGUAAAGGGUGCGUAGGUGGUGAUGCAAGUCUGGUGUGAAAUCUCGGAGCUCAACUCCGAAAUUGCACCGGAUACUGCGUGACUCGAGGACUGUAGAGGAGAUCGGAAUUCACGGUGUAGCAGUGAAAUGCGUAGAUAUCGUGAGGAAGACCAGUUGCGAAGGCGGAUCUCUGGGCAGUUACUGACGCUGAGGCACGAAGGCCAGGGGAGCAAACGGG